rnacentral:tRNA from 12 species
AGUAAAGUCAGCUAAUUAAGCU